UUUCUCACAGCUCAGUUGGUUAGAGCAUGGUGCUGAUAAUGCCAAGGUUGCAAGUUCGAUCCCCGUAUGGGAUAG